CCGCUCCGGCAGAACCUUUCUGGCGCUGUACGGCGCGCUAGUUAGCACGCCACUUCCGGCGGGGUGGAGGAGGCGGGAGAGAGGGAAAGGCUGGAAAACGAGGAUGCUUCCGCAGUGAGAAGGAGGCUGCUGCGCGAUGGCCGUUUUCGACACUCCCGAGGAGGCCUUCGGGGCCUUGCGCCCCGUCUGUGUUCAGCUCACCAAGACGCAGACGGUGGAGACGGUGGAGCGCCUGCGCGCGCAACUGCAGGCGGUGAGCGACUCGGCCCUUCAGGAGCUCCAGCAGUACGUCCUCUUCCCGCUGCGGUUCGCGCUGAAGACGCCGGGUCCCAAGAGAGAGCGCUUGAUCCAGAGCGUGGUGGAAUGCCUCACGUUCGUCCUCUCUUCCACCUGCGUGAGGGAACGAGAGCUCCUCCAGGAGCUCUUCUCCGAGCUCUCCGCGUGCCUGUAUUCGCCCAGCGCCCGGCAGCCCGCGGCUGUGUCCGAGGAGCUGAAGCUGGCCGUGAUCCAGGGCCUCAGCACGCUGAUGCACUCGGCUUACGGGGACACCAUCCUGGCUUUUUACGAGCCCUCCAUCCUGCCUCGGUUAGGAUUUGCCGUAUCUUUACUGUUGGACCUCGCAGAACAGGAGAAAUCCAAGCAAAUUAAAGUGGCUGCCUUAAAAUGUCUGCAGGUUCUCCUCUUCCAGUGCGACUGUCAGGACCACCCGAGGUCCCUGGAUGAGCUUGAACAGAAACAGCUGGGGGAUUUGUUUGCUUCUUUUUUACCUGGAAUCUCAAUGGCACUGACCCGGGUGAUCACGGGAGACUUUAAGCAAGGGCACAGCAUUGUCGUGUCUUCCCUAAAGAUCUUUUACGAGACAGUGAGUUUCAUUAUGGCUGACAAACAUCUCGAAAGGACCUCCGACGCCCAACCGAAGCCUGCCUCUGUGGAGCCCAGAGUCGCAGAGCUGAUGGUUCACAGGGAAGCCAAGUGGGUAAAAAACACCAGCGACAAACUGACCAUCCUUAUUAAAAAGAUAACUGAGUGUGUUUCCAUCCAUCCACACUGGAAGGUGAGGCUAGCCCUGACAGAACUCAUCGAGGCCCUUCUCUUGAAGUGCAGUCAGUCCCUGGUCGACUCGGCCGGACCCCUUCUGAAGGCUUUGGUGGGUCUAGUAAAUGAUGAGAGUCCCGAGGUCCAAACCCAGUGCAGUAAAGUUCUGAGACAUUUCGCAGAUCGGAAAGUAGUGGUCGGCAACAGAGCCUUUGCGGACAUCUUGUCAGAAAACCUCCAUUCCCUCGCCACGUCACUGCCCCGCCUCAUGAACUCCCAGGACGAUCAAGGCAAAUUCUCUACUCUCUCCCUGUUACUCGGUUAUCUGAAACUCCUGGGCCCCGAAGUGAACUUCGUCCUCCGCUCUGCGGCCCAUCUUCAGCGCCUUUCCAAAGCGCUCAUCCAAGUGCUGGAAUUGGACGUGGCCGACAUCAAGGUCGUCGAAGAGCGGCGCCGGCCUUCUGGUGGUCUGAGCUCGUCUCCAGAGAGCGCGGCUCUGCUGCAGAGGAGGUACUUCCGCUUCUUCACCGACGAGAGGCUUUUCCUGCUUUUGCAGCAGCUGUGUCAGCUCCUCGGGUUUUAUGGCGACCUCUGUCUGCUCGUCGAUCACUUUAUGGAGCUCUACCACGAGUCCGUGGUUUACCGGAAGCAAGCUGCCAUGAUCCUGAAUGAGCUGGUUGUGGGGGCUGCUGGGCUGGAGGUGGAGAAUCUUCACGAAAACCACAUUAAAACAAGCCCGGAGGAACUGAAAGAGAUCGUGACCACUGUACUUGAAGAAUACACGAGCCAAGAAAACUGGUAUUUGGUCACCUGUAUCGAAUCUGAGGAAGGGGGAGAGGAGCUAACAAUGAAGCAGUCAGGCCUCCAGGCCAUCACAUCUGCUGCACACACCUGCCAAGUCACAUCUUUCCCAGCCUUCUCAAAGCCAGGUCCCACUAUCUGCUCCAUGAACAGCAACAUCUGGCAAAUAUGCAUCCAGUUGGAAGGGAUCGGCCGCUUUGCGUAUGCACUGGGAAAAGACUUCCGUCUGCUCUUGAUGUCAGCCCUCUAUCCAGUCCUGGAGAAGGCUGGGGACCAAACCCUGCUCAUUAGUCAGGCAGCCACAGGCGCCAUGCUGGACAUUUGCCACGCCUGUGGCUACGACUCUCCGCAGCACCUAAUCAGUCAAAAUUCGGACUAUUUGGUGAAUGGGAUCUCUUUAAAUCUGCGUCAUCUGUCUCUGCACCCCCAUACCCCAAAGGUCUUGGAAGUCAUGCUGUGGAACUCGGAUGCUAGCCUGCUUCCUUUGGUGGCAGAUGUGGUUCAGGAUGUCUUGGCCACUCUGGACCAAUUUUAUGAUAAGAGAGCUACUUCCUUUGUGGGUGUCCUCCAUGCCUUGCUGGCAGCAUUAGCCCAGUGGUUCCCAGACACAGGUGAUCUCGGGCAACCCCAAGAGCAGAGUGCAGGGGAGGAGGGAAGUCAUUUGAGCCAAAAACCAGCAGCUCCUGAGAAUACCGCCACAGCAGAAGACAUUGAACAAUUUUUGCUGAACUACCUCAAAGAAAAGGAUGUGGCAGAUGGCAAUGUCUCAGAUUUUGAUAAUGAAGAAGAGGAGCAGUCAGAGCCUCCGAAGGUGGACGACAGUGACACUGGUCCCGAUGUGGAGCCCCCGCUGCCAGUGCACAUCCAGAUAGCCAAAGAUGUGAUGGAGCGCUGCAUCCACCUGCUGUCCGAUAAGAACCUGAUGAUCCGCUUGAAGAUCUUGGAUGUGCUGGAUUUGUGCGUGGUUGUGCUGCAGUCCCACAAGAACCAGCUCCUUCCCUUGGCUCAUCGGGCCUGGCCCUCGCUCGUGCGCCGACUCACCAGUGACGACCCCCUGGUGGUGCUCAGAGCCUUCAAGGUCUUGCGUACCCUGGGAGGCAAGUGUGGCGACUUUCUGAGGAGCCGAUUCUGCAAAGACAUCCUGCCCCAGCUGGCCGGCUCCUUAGUCACCCAGGCUCCCGUCAGCGCCCGGGCCGGACCGGUGUACACGCACACGCUGGCCUUCAAGCUACAGCUGGCCGUUCUGCAGGGCCUGGGCCCCCUCUGCGAGAGACUGGACCUCGGUGAGGGUGACCUGAAUAAAGUGGCUGAUGCCUGCUUGAUUUACCUCAGCGCCAAACAGCCCGUGAAAUUACAAGAGGCUGCCAGGAGGCCCAGAAUCAGUCAUGGUUUCUUGAGCACAGGGGCGCAUCCCAACCAGCUUCUUACCCUCAGACAUUCUUGUUCCUUCAAGAACCAACUUCGGGUGAAAAUAGCCCUCCCCCUCCGGGUGGUGUUCCGGAAACUGCUCUCACACUGAUUUCAGGUACAACUCAAGAAGGUAAUGAAUUCAUCUUGAAGUAAAUUCUCUGUGUGCCUGUUAACAACCAAGAGUCACAAAUAUCUGACUUUCCCAUUCUCUGUCCCAUUCUUCUUUUCCUCCACCCACCCCAUACCCGUCCUUCCAGUUCAGACCCAUCAAACAAGCUAAUAUUCGCCAUUCAUUAUCUUUUCAUUUCUAAUUUUCUUUUGUGCCGCUAAAAGCAAUUAAACCUGGAAUUGGACCUUGCUGAGUCUUGAGUUGGUAUUCAGGGUGCCUCUGGAGGAGGAAAAUGCAGCCAGACCACUUGACUGCUGCGCCUUUGUUUGCUCUAGCGCAUUCCAUUCGGGGUUGAGUCAGAUGACCUCCCUCUUGCCAGCCUGGGAGGGGAGGAAGUGCAGGGUUGAUUGGUUCACAAACACAUCAUCUGCAAACUUAUUUUGAAGCCAAGGGAAAAAAAAAACCAGCGUUGUCCUUGAUCAGGAGCUGAUUUGGCAUCUUGAUUCAGAAAUUAAUAAGCUCCGUAAAUAGGAGAAGAAUCCGGAGACAAUGGGAAACCUGGUCUCUUUGUGAGCCUCGUUAUUGAAGGAAGGGAGGGCGGUGAGGUGGGGGUGGUUUGGUACUGAAACACUGCGUGCCUGGUCCCCUGGCUCAGGGAGCGCUUACACCCCAUAUCCAUUCCAGAAGGGAAGCCUGUCCACCUGACUUACAGACUCUCUCUUCAGACUAUCCGCAUCUCCUCGCCGGCCCCCUCCCCCCACUCCUGCCCCUGUGUAUCCCCCACGCAGCAGGCACUGACGCCCGCUACACACUCAUGGGAGAAGGGAAGGUUGUUGUGUUUGUUGUUUGUUGCCAGGGCCCAAGAGGGAGCCCCGUGGCUUAGUGUUCAGCCUCCGGCCUCGGCUAAGUGUUCAAAAGAACCAGUGAGAGAGCCAGAGCCGUCCACAGAUGCCCUGGCUUCCUCGGAGCUAGGUUUUCCUCCACCUGAUGAAGGUGGACCCCGACUGCAUCUGGUUUCUCCUGAAUGAACUUUACUGCCCCGAGCAGCUCACAC